rnacentral:rRNA from 1 species
GGAGUCUGGGCCGUAUCUCAGUCCCAAUGUGGCUGUACAUCCUCUCGAACCAGCUACCGAUCGUCGCCUUGGUGUGCCGUUACCACUCCAACUAGCUAAUCGGAUACAAACCCCUCUUACAGCGUCCUUUCGGACUUUCCCAUUACAAUCAUGUGAUCACAACAGAAUAUGCGGUAUUAAUCG